UGCCGUACAUUCAUCCCUGCUGGCUUUUCAUUUUGCCGUUUUAUGAAGCUCCUGCCUUCUUUGCCUUUGUCUUUUUAAUCGUGCGCGCGCACGCACACACCACGCACGCGCGGGCGCUGGAGAAGCAGCACAGCGGUAGAGCGGCAGUGAGAUAUGGAGUGAAGCAAUGACUGGGCUUUGGACUGGGACUGGUCCUCGGCCAGUACUGGUAGACUGUACUGCCAUCACCUGACCACUAGAGGAUAAAGCAAGAACGAAGAGGGGCUGUGCAUGUUCCUGAAG